GAGACAGCAGUCGCCGCGGUAAUACGUAGGUGGCAAGCGUUGUCCGGAAUUAUUGGGCGUAAAGGGCUCGCAGGCGGUUUCUUAAGUCUGAUGUGAAAGCCCCCGGCUCAACCGGGGAGGGUCAUUGGAAACUGGGAAACUUGAGUGCAGAAGAGGAGAGUGGAAUUCCACGUGUAGCGGUGAAAUGCGUAGAGAUGUGGAGGAACACCAGUGGCGAAGGCGACUCUCUGGUCUGUAACUGACGCUGAGGAGCGAAAGCGUGGGGAGCGAACAGGAUUAGAGACCCGUGUAGUCCCUGUCUCUUAUAC
rnacentral:rRNA from 1 species